rnacentral:rRNA from 1 species
GAUGAACGCUGGCGGCGUGCCUAAUACAUGCAAGUCGAGAGAACGGACGAGAAGCUUGCUUUUCUGAUGUUAGCGGCGGACGGGUGAGUAACACGUGGAUAACCUACCUAUAAGACUGGGAUAACUUCGGGAAACCGGAGCUAAUACCGGAUAAUAUUUUGAACCGCAUGGUUCAAAAGUGAAAGACGGUCUUGCUGUCACUUAUAGAUGGAUCCGCGCUGCAUUAGCUAGUUGGUAAGGUAACGGCUUACCAAGGCAACGAUGCAUAGCCGACCUGAGAGGGUGAUCGGCUACACUGGAACUGAGACACGGUCCAGACUCCUACGGGAGGCAGCAGUAGGGAAUCUUCCGCAAUGGGCGAAAGCCUGACGGAGCAACGCCGCGUGAGUGAUGAAGGUCUUCGGAUCGUAAAACUCUGUUAUUAGGGAAGAACAUAUGUGUAAGUAACUGUGCACAUCUUGACGGUACCUAAUCAGAAAGCCACGGCUAACUACGUG